GAAAGAUCUCCCAUGCUCAUGGAUUGGCAGGAUUAAUUUAGUAAAAAUGGCCAUUUUACCAAAAGCAAUCUACAGAUUCAAUGCAAUCCCCAUCAAAAUACCAAUCCAAUUCUUCAAAGAGUUAGAUAGAACAAUUUGCAAAUUCAUCUGGAAUAACAAAAAACCCAGGAUAGCUAAAGCUAUCCUCAACAAUAAAAGGACUUCAGGGGGAAUCACUAUCCCUGAACUCAAGCAGUAUUACAGAGCAAUAGUGAUAAAAACUGCAUGGUAUUGGUACAGAGACAGACAGAUAGACCAAUGGAAUAGCAUUGAAGACCCAGAAAUG
rnacentral:lncRNA from 1 species